rnacentral:rRNA from 1 species
UGGUCUUGACAUAGAAAGAACUUUCCAGAGAUGGAUUGGUGCCUGCUUGCAGGAGCUUUCAUACAGGUGCUGCACGGCUGUCGUCAGCUCGUGUCGUGAGAUGUUGGGUUAAGUCCCGCAACGAGCGCAACCCUCGUCGUUAGUUGCUAACAGUUCGGCUGAGAACUCUAACGAGACUGCCUACGCAAGUAGGAGGAAGGUGAGGACGACGUCAAGUCAUCAUGGCCCUUACGACCAGGGCUACACACGUGCUACAAUGGGUUAUACAAAGAGCAGCAAUACGGUGACGUGGAGCGAAUCUCAAAAAUGCCUCCCAGUUCGGAUUGUAGUCUGCAACUCGACUACAUGAAGUUGGAAUCGCUAGUAAUCGUAGAUCAGCUAUGCUACGGUGAAUACGUUCCCGGGUCU